UUACAAUGCAAGUCGAACGGUGACCCGGGGCACCUGGCUUCGAGUGGCGAACGGGUGAGUAAUGCGUCGGAUCGUGCCCUCUAUUGGGGGAUAGCCCGGCAAAAGCCGGAUUAAUACCGCAUACAACCCCUGGGUGAAAGCGGGGGAUCGCAAAACCUCGCGCUAUUGGAGCGGCCGAUGUCAGAUUAGGUAGUUGGUGGGGUAAAGGCCUACCAAGCCUACGAUCUGUAGCUGGUCCUGAGGACGACACCCCACACUGGGACUGAGACACGGCCCCCACUCCUACGGGAGGGCCAGUGGGGAAUUUUGGACAAUGGGGGCAACCCUGAUCCAGCCAUGCCCCGUGGGGGAAAAAAGGCUUCCGGUUGUAAACCCCUUUUGUCAUGGAACAAAUCUCCUGGGCUAAUACCCCGGGUGGAUGACCGUACCCGUAAAAUAAACCCCCGCUAACUACCUGCCCGGAGCCCCGGU
rnacentral:rRNA from 1 species